UUAGGCCUUUGGAGUGCCUUGAAACAUCUAUUCGACAAUUCAGUACACGUAUGAUGAUCUGCAGUGAAACUGCUGGAAUUUAAACGGUAACAAACUGAAACCAAACAAAAUACUGACAACGACUACAAAUAUUAAAAUUUUAUGAUAUAUUUUAGAUUCGUACUUUAAAUUUUAACAACCGUGGUCGAAACCAGAUUGAAAAACGGGUUGAAACGAACAAACGACGCAUUUUACGCACUUUUUAUGUAACCGACGAUCAAACGCGACAACGAUAAAAUAGCGCUCAUGUUUUACGUAUUUGAUAAUAAAAUUAUAUUUUACAAUGCUUAUGGAGUCCAGAUCGUGAAAACGGGUUUCGUAGGAGUUAGCGGGCCACUUAAAACACGAGACUUGGGCUUGUGGGCCUUGGGCCCAAGCCCAAAACCCAUUACUCUAACCUAAGUAUAAAAAGGAAGCUAAACCCUAAUUCCAUUCACUUUACAGCCGCAUACACCGACUCCUCUCCUUUUCCCUCUCAUUUCUUGUCUGGAACAUUAUCCUCUCAAAAUCCUUCACUGCCAUCAUCUCUUUUAACUAUAACUCCAAACACACACAUACAUAACCUAAACCAAGACACCCUCUCGGUCCAGUGACCGGCGGCCGGCGGAACCGUGAAGCCGGUGGUCCUCUCCGGCAAGACACCUCCGCAAUCACACACCACUCACACCCCCUUGUCUGUUUCGUCACUGGUGAUGAUCACCGGCGGUGCGACGGUGAUGGAUACGGCAGUCAGCGACACCCUUCAUCUCGUUCCUCUUUCUGACGACACCCACACAAACCAGGCGACACCCUCUUUCUCCGACGACAGGAGCCGGAAAUCAGGUCGUUUCUCCGGCCGUUCUUCUGAUAAAGAUGAUACAUGAAGAUGAUGAGCGAUGUGAUGGUGAAGACGGUGAUGAUGCCAAUUAACGGUUACAGCCGUUACUUUUCCGAUUGAUCCAGGUCAGGUUCGGAUCCACUCAGGCCAGAUUGGUUGAAGUGUUCGGUCAACUCAGUAAGGUUAGGUCAACCACAGGCAACAUCAACUUCUGUUCGAGACUCGGUCAAACCCGAGUCCACUCGGGUCAACUCAGUAGGGUUAAAACCCGGUUCAGAAGGCUCAGUUUGGUUCGAGAAUUUCAAUUCAAGUGUCAGCUUGGUUCGAAUCGGUCAACUGGUUUCGGUUCGGGUGUUCGGGUCAACAGCGGGUCAACUCAGUCAAGAUGGUCAAACUUGGUCAACGGUAGUCAGUCAAGACCCGGAAUACCAUAGUUGCACGCUGGCUAAUGCACAUUCUUGGAACGACACUACGGAAUCACGUUAGGCUAGCUUUGCACAGGAAUGUCAAGGUUACUUUUCAAAGAUAUGGCACGAUUGGAAUGGGAGAACCCAUGGGAAUUUGAGUACUUAGCGGCGUUCAUUGUUUAGAAGUCUUAGCUUUUUGCUUCCGCUGUGCAAUGAAGAUACCGGUCCAGUCACGCCAAGCUCUGAUAUUUCGGGGUGUGACAGAUUGGUAUCAGAGCUAUAGGUUUCAGCGAACUAGGUUUCUGUAGUGAUACCUAGGCUUUAACCUCACUCUCCUCUAGGGACUUAGAUAUCAAGAAUUGAACACGUACAGAACGCCUAAGACUCGAAUAUGGGUUCCAACCGUUGCCAAGAACAAUGAGUCAACUGUUUCGAUUUUAAACAUAUACAAAUGUUGUGUCGAUACACAAUACACGAAACAAUUACACACAUAAAGCAAGACUUUGAGAGUUGUGGUAACACACAUUUAGGACCUAUGGAAAACUUACGACGAAAUUCAUUAAAGGUCCUCAUGUAGGAGCCACGAUUAUUAACUAGGGCAAAUGCCAUUACCUAUAUUGUCUAUGCUAUUUUAAUUACCCGAGCAGGUAACCUACGUGGAACGAAACGCUAUUGCGCAACUAUAUGUGAAACUUAAACUAUACGUCAACGGACGUUGAAAUACACCACACACAACUUUCGAGGCAAGGCCUUUGGAAAACAUGAUUGAGCAUGACAACAAUGAUGCUAACCCCGUCAGUGGGAGAACUACUGGUCGAAAGCGGCAAAUUGGCAAGUGAUCCUGCAAACGACACGAAUCACACUGAGGUACGCUUAAACAAGAUUUCAUAACGAUCGAUACUUAGUCUAAAGAGACUCACAAUUGUUGGCGCUGCAAAAGAAGUCACACAUUUUCGCAUCUCCCUUACUUCGUUAUGGCGAUUACGCUAUGUUCGACAUUCUAUGGUAAUGUCAUGUAACAAUCGGUCAUCACACGAAAUUCCAGGUAAAGUCCUCAAAAUUCUUUUGUUGAAAUUUUGACUUAUUGCAUAUAGUGAGUGGAUUCUCAUAGUUCUACUCCUCCUAAUGAUCACUGUAUCAUGAGGAUUCCUUCCAUGGUAGCGAAUACUCAUUUGUUCUUUUUUUCUCUUGACAAAUUCAUAAGCUACACAUGCAUUGUUUGUUACGCAUGUGGUUUCACUUCGAAUGGUUGUUUUGUCAACACCUCAUAUAUUAUUUCGCUAUACUCAAUCUUUGCAUUGUGAUCUAGACGACCCGUAUUAUUGCAAAGUGUUGACUCCUUGGUAUCGAGUCAACGAAUUUCUUGAAAAACUCAUUUUCUUUCGAAAGGCAUACAUGGUUUUUCAUUGUAAUCAUGUCGAAACUAUCUUAUUGAUACAUGAAUUUAUUGUUGGAUUGUGUUUCUACCAAGUUCAAUUGAUUGAACUUGCUCGUAAUAUAUAUUCGAUUCAAGAUUCCAUAUGAUGGAUUGAGGCCAUCAUAUUCGAAAUAAUCCCAACAAGCACUUCAUUUGCUUUGAACCAUAACAUGCUUGUUUGGUCUUCGACUUCAUUGAAUCGUUUCUUUGAUCACGAUCACCUUGUGGUGGCAUUUUUUUCACAAGUUUGAAGCUUGCGCUAAUCUCGUUGCUCACCUCAUGUACGGAUUUAAUUAUUUAUUUAUUUGUUUAUUGAUAUUAAAUCCGCUUUGUUGAUUUAUCAUAUUAAAACAAUCUUAACACACUCGUGUGUUAAGAUAAUGGUACACAAAUUUAUGUCAUAUUUCCGUGUACUUCUUUAACGGUUCUUUCAGUAUCGAUCGAACAUCUUGUGAUAUUCAUUGCUUUCCAUCUUCGAUCGAAAACAUUAUUUAUUUGCUUCAUUUUCAAUUGAAAAUCCUAUGAGAUUUGUUUGAAACAAACAUUCGGAUUUACUUCAUUGAACCUUUCAUCUGAUUUCAAAGACGGUGAACUUGUUCGGUCACCGCUAUUGUUGAAUUAUUUUAUUCACUACGACACCUUGUGGCGUCAGUAUAAACUUGUAGCUUGUGCUAAUCAUGAACAACCAUUUCAUGCGAAACUAUGUAUGCUUCUUGUUUAACAAAUCAUUUAAAUAGUCUUAAUACAACUAUGUAUUAAGACGAUGAUACACCAGGUUCGGUUGUAUUUCAGUUCGGUGUAUCCUUGCAAUUCGAUAAUGUCAACACAUUGAUUUUAUUCAUUUAACGUUUCGAUUGAUGAACAUUUUCAUGUCUCUAUGUCAAACGAAUUUGUUGAAUUCGAGUUUCAUUCAUACAACAACCAACGCAAGUUUCCGUUGGUAGUGAAUUCUAUUGUCUCAAAAAUUGAUUUGCAUAUUGUGAACGUUCAAUUGAAAUUCUACCACUUGAAAUUCCUCUUUUAUUGAACCCUGUAAACUUAGUCACAUUGGUGAUAGUAUCACAACAUCUCGUUCACUUGACAUCGAUUUCUAGAACAAACUCAGUUAAACCGUUGGAUUCUUAUUGAUGCAAAAUGUCUUUACAUUCAUAUAAUAAUUCGAAUAAGUUUUAAUUCGUUUACGCGGUCAAUCACUUUUGUAUUAUUCAGACUUACCUAGGAAUGACACAACUCUGAGGAGAUAACAUAAUCUAAAUUUCGAGGACGAAAUUUCUGCAACAGGGGGAGAAUGUGACAACUGGUAAUUAACGGGUUCUAAUUACGUGAUUAGCGAACGUUUAAAACAAUAAUAGAUAGUGUUUAAGACGUGGAUUAACUUAAUUAGGCCUUUGGAGUGCCUUGAAACAUCUAUUCGACAAUUCAGUACACGUAUGAUGAUCUGCAGUGAAACUGCUGGAAUUUAAACGGUAACAAACUGAAACCAAACAAAAUACUGACAACGACUACAAAUAUUAAAAUUUUAUGAUAUAUUUUAGAUUCGUACUUUAAAUUUUAACAACCGUGGUCGAAACCAGAUUGAAAAACGGGUUGAAACGAACAAACGACGCAUUUUACGCACUUUUUAUGUAACCGACGAUCAAACGCGACAACGAUAAAAUAGCGCUCAUGUUUUACGUAUUUGAUAAUAAAAUUAUAUUUUACAAUGCUUAUGGAGUCCAGAUCGUGAAAACGGGUUUCGUAGGAGUUAGCGGGCCACUUAAAACACGAGACUUGGGCUUGUGGGCCUUGGGCCCAAGCCCAAAACCCAUUACUCUAACCUAAGUAUAAAAAGGAAGCUAAACCCUAAUUCCAUUCACUUUACAGCCGCAUACACCGACUCCUCUCCUUUUCCCUCUCAUUUCUUGUCUGGAACAUUAUCCUCUCAAAAUCCUUCACUGCCAUCAUCUCUUUUAACUAUAACUCCAAACACACACAUACAUAACCUAAACCAAGACACCCUCUCGGUCCAGUGACCGGCGGCCGGCGGAACCGUGAAGCCGGUGGUCCUCUCCGGCAAGACACCUCCGCAAUCACACACCACUCACACCCCCUUGUCUGUUUCGUCACUGGUGAUGAUCACCGGCGGUGCGACGGUGAUGGAUACGGCAGUCAGCGACACCCUUCAUCUCGUUCCUCUUUCUGACGACACCCACACAAACCAGGCGACACCCUCUUUCUCCGACGACAGGAGCCGGAAAUCAGGUCGUUUCUCCGGCCGUUCUUCUGAUAAAGAUGAUACAUGAAGAUGAUGAGCGAUGUGAUGGUGAAGACGGUGAUGAUGCCAAUUAACGGUUACAGCCGUUACUUUUCCGAUUGAUCCAGGUCAGGUUCGGAUCCACUCAGGCCAGAUUGGUUGAAGUGUUCGGUCAACUCAGUAAGGUUAGGUCAACCACAGGCAACAUCAACUUCUGUUCGAGACUCGGUCAAACCCGAGUCCACUCGGGUCAACUCAGUAGGGUUAAAACCCGGUUCAGAAGGCUCAGUUUGGUUCGAGAAUUUCAAUUCAAGUGUCAGCUUGGUUCGAAUCGGUCAACUGGUUUCGGUUCGGGUGUUCGGGUCAACAGCGGGUCAACUCAGUCAAGAUGGUCAAACUUGGUCAACGGUAGUCAGUCAAGACCCGGAAUACCAUAGUUGCACGCUGGCUAAUGCACAUUCUUGGAACGACACUACGGAAUCACGUUAGGCUAGCUUUGCACAGGAAUGUCAAGGUUACUUUUCAAAGAUAUGGCACGGUUGGAAUUGGAGAACCCAUGGGAAUUUGAGUACUUAGCGGCGUUCAUUGUUUAGAAGUCUUAGCUUUUUGCUUCCGCUGUGCAAUGAAGAUACCGGUCCAGUCACGCCAAGCUCUGAUAUUUCGGGGUGUGAACUGUUCACGAACGCAUACCGAACAUAAGUUUAUGUUUGUGUUCUUUCGUUAAGGAAAUUCAGUUGUUCACGAACAGUUCGUAAACGCUGAUCUCGAACACAAACGAACACAUGCAAAUAAAACCGAACGAAAAUGAACAUUUAACUUGAAAUUAAAGAUAAAGGUCGGUGGCUGUCACAUCAAAA